UACGUAGGGGGCAAGCGUCAUCCGGAUUUACUGGGUGUAAAGGGAGCGUAGACGGCGAUGCAAGUCUGAAGUGAAAGGCGGGGGCCCAACCCCCGGACUGCUUUGGAAACUGUAUGGCUGGAGUGCAGGAGAGGUAAGUGGAAUUCCUAGUGUAGCGGUGAAAUGCGUAGAUAUUAGGAGGAACACCAGUGGCGAAGGCGGCUUACUGGACUGUAACUGACGUUGAGGCUCGAAAGCGUGGGGAGCAAACAGG
rnacentral:rRNA from 1 species